UACGGGGGGUGCGAGCGUUGUCCGGAAUCACUGGGCGUAAAGGGCGCGUAGGUGGUCUUGUAAGUCUGUGGUGAAAGCCCGGGGCUCAACCCCGGGUCUGCCGUGGAUACUGCGAGACUUGAGUGCUGUAGAGGCAGGUAGAAUAUCGGGUGUAGCGGUGGAAUGCGUAGAGAUCCGAUAGAAGACCGGUGGCGAAGGCGGCCUGCUGGGCAGUAACUGGCACUGGAGGCGCGACAGCGUGGGGGAGCAAACAGG
rnacentral:rRNA from 1 species